rnacentral:rRNA from 1 species
CACGUAGGGGGCGAGCGUUGUCCGGAUUUAUUGGGCGUAAAGAGCUCGUAGGCGGUUUCGUAAGUCGGAUGUGAAAACUCCAGGCUCAACUUGGAGACGCCAUUCGAUACUGCGAUGACUUGAGUCCGGUAGGGGAGUGUGGAAUUCCUGGUGUAGCGGUGAAAUGCGCAGAUAUCAGGAGGAACACCGAUGGCGAAGGCAGCUCGCUGGGACGGUGACUGACGCUGAGGCGCGAAGCGUGGGGAGCAAACAGG